rnacentral:lncRNA from 1 species
CCUACUAUCCUCUAAGUGUCUGUGGACAGAAACUAUCUAUUGAAUCUCUAAUUUAAUUUAACAACAAAAUGAGAACAUAACAUUUUCCAUUCAUGUUUUGUUAAAUAAAUUAAUUAUGACCAGUAUCACUGAGUACAAAGUAAUAAAGCCAUGCCUCUUUCUUACUUCCAUCUCCACUCCAUUACAGAUGCAGUGUUCUAUAAAAGAUAGCAUUUUAGGAUUUUGUUCAUCACUUGUAAGAUGAAUUUCAAUAUUGGAAUCCUGGGGGUCCCAACACCACAUCCAACUUCAUUAAAUUUUGCCCUUGGCAUUGCUUGAUGACAGAUGACCCAUGACCUAGUAUGGGUGAGAAGAGGCCCAGCUGCACCAUGCCUGUCCUGGUUGCCACCCCUACAUUAAGGACUCCUGUCCCUGUUUCACACUAUCUGCAGUCACAGCUGAUGCUGGAAUCAGCAUCGUGCUCAUCAGCAGCUGUUCUAUUUGUGAUCUUGCUGUUAAAUAAAUCCAAAACGACAGGACACUAAGCUGUGGUAAAUAAUCACUACCUACAAUGUACUGUAGAGUAUUUUUUGCUAAUGAAUUCAAGAAGAAAAAAAUUAAACCUGCUUAUUGUUUCAAAAUUCAGGUGAUACUGUAAAAAAAUUAAUAAAGUACUAUUUGAUUCAGGGUUAAUUGGUAAUUAAGAGAUCAGUUCUUCCAAACACCCUGUAUAAUGUAUUUGUUUACUCUAGGGGUCAAUAAACUCUUAAUACAUCUUAC